rnacentral:rRNA from 1 species
GUGCUAGCGUUGCUCGGAAUCACUGGGCGUAAGGCGCACGUAGGCGGAUUGCUAAGUCAGGGGUGAAAUCCUGGAGCUCAACUCCAGAACUGCCUUUGAUACUGGCGACCUUGAGUCCGGGAGAGGUGAGUGGAACUGCGAGUGUAGAGGUGAAAUUCGUAGAUAUUCGCAAGAACACCAGUGGCGAAGGCGGCUCACUGGCCCGGUACUGACGCUGAGGUGCGAAAGCGUGGGGAGCAAACAGG